rnacentral:rRNA from 1 species
GCGUGGAGACAGGUGGUGCAUGGCUGUCGUCAGCUCGUGUCGUGAGAUGUUGGGUUAAGUCCCGCAACGAGCGCAACCCUCACCCCUAGUUGCCACCGGGUAAAGCCGAGCACUCGAGGGGAACUGCCAGCGUCAAGCUGGAGGAAGGCGGGGAUGACGUCAAGUCAUCAUGCCCCUUACGCCCUGGGCUACACACGUGCUACAAUGGCCGGUACAAAGGGACGCGAGACUGCAAAGUGGAGCUAAUCCCAAAAAACCGGUCUAAGUUCAGAUUGCAGUCUGCAACUCGACUGCAUGAAGGAGGAAUCGCUAGUAAUCGCGCAUCAGCACGGCGCGGUGAAUACGUUCCCGGGCCUUGUACACAUCGCCCGUCACACCACGAAAGCUGUCUGUAACUCGAAAGUCGCUGGA